UCGUGUGGUCCGUCCGAGUAUUAAACGGCUUUUGGAGAAUGAAGGCUACUGUGGUCCUCUCACCGUCACUGCUGUUGGCAAACUAGCGAACGUCCCUACUGACACCCUGAGAGCACUCUAUUCCAGUGGAAUCCAUCUUAUCAUCUCCCCCUUCGGCGGUUAGAUAUCUUCUCGAAACAGAGGAUUCUGCCUUGUGGCAUUGCUCUGUAUGCUGCCUUGAUCCUCCUGCCCACGGCUUUGAAAAUUUCAUCACACAUCUAUCAACGGGAGAUUAUAAAGUGAUGGUAAUUAAUCAAGUGUUUGUUUCACACAUCUACCUGUUUUUUUUUUUUUGCCUUUGUUUGACUUGUCCAUGUUCAUUUAAUGUUCCAGCUGAGUUUACCUAGGAAUACUGUGCCUCGUCCGCCGGUUGAUCUCUCCAG